GCCUCGCGUGCUAGCGGUGCCCUUGUGAGCCACUGCGUUCUCCAAGGCCAGAACGGGACAGUUGACGAUGGUCGUACUUCUCCAUGUUCUGAGACCAGUUUAAACAAAAACAAAAACCAGACAACAACCUUGCAAGGGAAAGAAUUCAGAGUAAAUAAACAGUCUUUUUCUGGGAAGUAAAAUAUUUCCCUAAGAUGGAGAAAUUGAGAUGAGAGCUCAUCCACAAGAUUACCCAUCAAUGAGCACCAAUAGCAACCAAAUCCACUAGAAGACUGGGAGCUUUUAAGUCAAGAAACUUACAUCAGUAUCAUCAUUCCAAGAAGCGGUAUCCAAGCUGUUUUAUCGAAAGUGCGCAUGGGAGAUAAGACUCUGAGAAUUUAUAGAAACAAACAUUAGAAGGCAGGAAUGUGGAGAGAAGAAAGCUACCUGACAAGGGAAUCUCAGGAUACAAGGAAAACACCAAGCAGAAGCAACUGAUCUGGCAGUGGAAAAAGUAGCUCUCGCGUGUAUUUCAAAGAAGCAACGGUUUUCUGAUUAAGCAGCAUUAUCUUGCAUGUUUUAAUGAGUGACACAAUUACAGUAAAGACUGAAACCAAUUGUCAAGAUGUCAAUGUUGGCUUGGGAUGACUGCAGUAUAAAUCUACUCAUGGAAUUUUACAGAGCAGUAAUAAGAAUAUCAAACAGGUCAUGCACUGUAUUAUCAUUUCAUUGUUAUUUAUGUUUGCCUGGACUUGAUUCAGAGUCUCAGAAACCUCUUAGUCUCAUGACAUUUUUACCUAUUAAAUCAUCAUAUCCUACCAGAAGCCUGUAGAUGAGCCAUUACUUAAAGAAAAUGAAGUUCUAAAAUUAAAUUUGUGUUAUUGUUUAUCUUUGAUUUGUGUAGAGGUCACCACACCUCAUAGCCAUAAAGACACUCAUUAAUCAGAUGAAAAUGAAUGCAUUUAACCAUUCAUUUAUUUUUCAUAAAACCUAUUGAGCAUCUACUAUGUGAUAAACACUGUGAUGACAAUUUCCGGAGAUAUAAAGAAGAUAAAAAAGUGUGUUUUCGAAUUGCUCUUGAUACGACAGAUAAAAUGAUGAACAUGUAAUCAGUGAUGAAAUAUAUUUUAUGUAUGUAAUACUAUGUAUUAGAUACAUAUAUAUUUGUUUUUCUCUGUUCAGGGAAGGCUCUAUGGCAUGAAGCUAUUAUCAUUAUUCAUCAUCUAUUGAAAGGACAUUACUAUGCAUGUCUUCAAGAUUGUACAGUUUAGUUUUUAUAUAAUUGGUGAAGAUAAUUUGCUUUAUACAGGAGAGCUUUCAAACGACAUUUACAUACAUUAACUAAUUUAUCUGUGCUCAAAAUACUUUUCACCUCACAUUUCACAUAAUAAUGCAUAGCAGACAUUCUUUAUCUAGGGGCUUAGCAAAUGCAAGAGGUUGACGUGAGCAGUUCAUUCAUUCAACAACAAAUGCAUUUUGUUGUUAACAAAUAUUAAUAAAUACAUACAUUAAGUCUCUAUCUUGGGUCAUGUAAGUAGUAAUGAACAAAAUAGUUCUUUUCCUUACCUUAUAUGGUGUAUGCAGACUAAUGAGAGAAGAGAGACAUUGUACAACGAAACACAUAAUUAACAAUUGGACAAAUUGUUAUUAGGAAACAGAAUAGUGUUCUGUGGAAGAGAAGAUCAAUGAAAGCACACGAUUUAGAAUCAAGAACAAAGAACACCUGCCUGAGGAAUUGGUACAUGAUCUGAGAAUUGAAGAUCAAAUUAGCCAAAGAGUAUUAGAAAGAGUAUCCCCAAUGCAGGAAAAAUAUAUGCGAAAGUGCCAAAGUAUAAAAUGACAAAUGUAUUUGAGAAACUGAAGAAUGCGAAAGUGCUGAGGAUGUAAUAUACAAGAGGAAAAUAGAUAACAAUGAGACUGGGGAACUAGGCAGGAAGCGUAUCAGAGAGGGCCAAUAGGCUAGACUAUGCUGCAGUAACAAAUAAGUCCUCAAAUAUCAGCGGCAUAGCAAAAAAAAAAAAAAAAAGUUUAUACUAGCUUACACAUAUCAUAGUCUGAUAUAGCAGUGGUGAUAGUAGAUAGAAAACUUCAGCUCUGCCGGACAUGGUGGCUCAUGCCUGUAAUCCCAGCACUUUGGGAGGCUGAGGCAGGUGAUCUCUUGAGGCUAGGUAUUGGAGACCACACUGGCCAACAUGGCAAAACCCCCUCUCUAUUAAAAAUACAAAAAAUUAGCCAGGUGUGGUGCCACACGCUUGUAAUCCCAGUUACUCGGGAGGCUGAGGCACGAGAAUUGCUUAUAUCCUGGAAACGGAGGCUGCAGUAAGCUGAGAUAGUGCCACUGCGCUCCAGCCUGGGCAACAGAGCGAGACCCUGUCUAGGGGCAAAAAAAAAAAGAAAACUUCACCCCAAGCCAUAUAGUCACAGGGGCUGGGGUGGGGAGAGCUACACAGAGAAGGUAUGCAUGCUUUAAUUGCCUUGAUUUACAAGAGGCACUUAUCACUUAAACACAAUUCAAUUGAUGGGAACUAGUUCACAAGGGCCCACCAGGAUGCAAAUGGGCUUGGAAUUGUGGUUUAGUUGCAUGCCCAGUACAAACAAAUGAUUUGGCAAGGUGCUAUCCAGUGUCUAUUUGGAUCACAGGGGAAGAAACUUUGUACUUUAUCCUAAAGGUUACUACAGGGUUGUAACAUUGCUAUGGUCUGAAUGUUUGUGUCCCACCAAAAUUUGGGAGGUUAUUAGGUCAUGAGGGUGGGGCCCUUAUGAAUGAAAUUAGAGCCUUCAUAAAAGAAGCCUGAAAUGUGAUUAUGCCACCGUACUCCAGCCUGGGUGACAAUAGCAGUGAGAACCUGUCUCAAAAAACCCCAAACAAACAAACAAAACCAGACAAAACAAGCAAAAGAGGCCUGAGGGAGCUCAGUUGGCCCACAGAGAGGAAGACACAGGGAGAGUGCAUCCUUUCUGAGCCGGGAAGCAGGAUCUUACUGGACACCAAAUCUGCUGGUACCUUGAUUUUGGACUUCCCAU
rnacentral:lncRNA from 1 species